rnacentral:rRNA from 2 species
UACAGAGGGUGCAAGCGUUAAUCGGAAUUACUGGGCGUAAAGCGCACGCAGGCGGUUGGUUAAGUCAGAUGUGAAAGCCCCGGGCUCAACCUGGGAAUUGCAUUUGAAACUGGCCAACUAGAGUACGUGAGAGGGGGGUAGAAUUCCAAGUGUAGCGGUGAAAUGCGUAGAGAUUUGGAGGAAUACCAGUGGCGAAGGCGGCCCCCUGGCACGAUACUGACGCUCAGGUGCGAAAGCGUGGGGAGCAAACAGG